AUUGAACGCUGGCGGCAGGCUUAACACAUGCAAGUCGAGCGGAGAUGAGGUGCUUGCACCUUAUCUUAGCGGCGGACGGGUGAGUAAUGCUUAGGAAUCUGCCUAUUAGUGGGGGACAACAUUCCGAAAGGAAUGCUAAUACCGCAUACGUCCUACGGGAGAAAGCAGGGGCUCUUCGGACCUUGCGCUAAUAGAUGAGACUACGUCGGAUUAGCGAGUUGGUGGGGUAAAGGCCUACCAAGGCGACGAUCUGUAGCGGGUCUGAGAGGAUGAUCCGCCACACUGGGACUGAGACACGGCCCAGACUCCUACGGGAGGCAGCAGUGGGGAAUAUUGGACAAUGGGGGGAACCCUGAUCCAGCCAUGCCGCGUGUGUGAAGAAGGCCUUAUGGUUGUAAAGCACUUUAAGCGAGGAGGAGGCUACUGAGACUAAUACUCUUGGAUAGUGGACGUUACUCGCAGAAUAAGCACCGGCUAACUCUGUGCCAGCAGCCGCGGUAACAC
rnacentral:rRNA from 1 species